rnacentral:rRNA from 1 species
GAUCAUGGCUCAGGACGAACGCUGGCGGCGCGCCUAACACAUGCAAGUCGAACGGAGCUGAUUCGACAGAAGCCUUCGGGUGGACGAUGGAUCAGCUUAGUGGCGGACGGGUGAGUAACACGUGAGCAACCUGCCCUUAAGAGAGGAAUAACGUUUGGAAACGAACGCUAAUGCCUCAUAACAUAGUGAGAUGGCAUCAUCUUGUUAUCAAAGGAGCAAUCCGCUUAAGGA